CGCGCGAGCCAAUGGUCGUCCUCCGGAGCACCAAAGGCGCAGAAAACAUAACUUGAGUUGUGCGGGAUUACGGGCGCGGCUCUCUGCUCGUCCCUCCAUCCCCGGGUGUUGUAAUCGGCAUGCGGCUACCGGGGCCUCGGCUCCGGCACCGUGCCACAACAUACCGUGAGUGUGCAGGAUGUGACCCGAAAGAUGGUGAACUAUGCCUGAUCAGGUUGAAGUCAGGGGAAACCCUGAUGGAGGACCGAAGCAGUUCUGACGUGCAAAUCGAUUGUCAGAAUUGGGCAUAGGGGCGAAAGACCAAUCGAACCAUCUAGUAGCUGUUUUCCUUCCGAA
rnacentral:rRNA from 1 species